UAAACUUUCCCAUGGAAACAGUGAUGCAGACAGAACAAGGGUGUCCUGUAAAGGUGACAACAUUCAAAUACAUCCACUGAUUUAUCACUGUCAAAAUAUUAAAUACUCAAGUGACUAUUCUGCAAUUAUAGCAAUUAUCAUAAUUGGCAUCUGUGCUUACUGUAAUCCAGGAACAGUGUACUGAGUCUCAUUUAUCCCUCAUAAUUUACUGAGCUACACAACAUUAACCUCUUUUUAAAGACCUACAGUUUGCUGCUCUACAGUUAGGAGAGUCUGGGACUUCCAAGCUAAACAAUGCUACAUUGACUUAUGGGCAUUCAGUAUUACUAGAGAAAAGAGAUGCAAAGUUUGAGAUAUGCACUGUGAAAUCUGAGUUCAAGGAAUCUGACAGGAAGGAAGUCCUAACCUUGAUCCCAACAUAACUCUGGAAC